AAGUCGUAACAAGGUUUCCGUAAGUUCUUAACCGUCUCUAUAGCCUCUGUCAAAUCAAUACUAACAAUUCUUAUAGGUAGGUGAACCUGCGGAAGGAUCAUUAGAGAGACAAAACGAAGUGUAAAAAGCUUCAACUCUCCAACCCUAUGUUUAUCAACCUCUGUUGCCUCGGCAGCCUUCAAAGCUGCCAGAGGGAUUAUACAAACACUUGAUUUUAAAAACCAUCUGAACUUUGCUGUUAAGCAAAAAGAUUUAAUUAUCUAAAAACUUUCAACAACGGAUCUCUUGGUUCUGGCAUCGAUGAAGAACGCAGCGAAAUGCGAUAAGUAAUGUGAAUUGCAGAAUUCAGUGAAUCAUCGAAUCUUUGAACGCACAUUGCGCCCCUCGGUAGCCCGGAGGGCAUGCCUGUUCGAGCGUCAUUUAAACUCACUCAAGCUAGUUCUUGACGUUGGAGUCUUCUAUUGGUUUAGAACUCUCAAAUCAGUCGGCGAGUCUCAUAGAAUCUCAGACGUAGUAUAACAACCACCGUUUGAUCAGAGUCUAGUGAGGCUUUUGUGUCCUGAUUAAUGAUAAUCCAAAUUUUGACCUCGGAUCAGGUAGGGAUACCCGCUGAACUUAA
rnacentral:rRNA from 1 species